rnacentral:tRNA from 1 species
GCCUGCGUAGCUCAGUAGGUAGAGCACUUCCUUGGUAAGGAAGAGGUCACCGGUUCAAAUCCGGUCGUAGGCU